UCCCGAAUGAAAACACUAAUGCAAGCCUGGCCCCACAAAAACCUAGAUAAUGCUGACAUUGAAGACGACAGGUUUUUCACUUUUAUUUUCGGUUGAGGACUUACUACCACAAAAACACAUCAGACCUGUACUAGAAUAGGUGUGUAGCGGAGCGGGAAAAGCAUCGGGUCAUUUUAACUCGACUAGAAAGGAACACAGCGAUGCCCUCGCUAAACUUGUCUCUAAGUUCCCACCUCGCCAUCCCGGGGUGCGUGGAAAACCCCCUCCCGCCCCGCGCCUAGGCAGCACUCGGGGAUGCCGGCACGCCUGGCUCCUUCCCACCCGCGAGCGGCGCUCCCCGCAGGGCGGGCCGGGGAAAGAGAAGCACGGCGCGAAGGGCCGCGGGCGGCCCGGGAAGGGAGGAGGGAGGCUUGGGAGGCUGGCGGGCGGUUUUAUUGUUUCCUUUCGCCCUCCUCCUCCCGCGCCUCGGCCCCGGCGUCACUGGAAAGCCGCCCGAGCCGCCCGGCGGCUGGUUAUUUAUAGCGCGGGCUGCGCGCGCGUCACGGAGCCCGGCCCGGCUGACGGGGCCGCUGACGCGCUUGGCCGCGGGGCCGAGUCCGCGGGGCUGCGCGCCGGGCGCCGGCGACAAUGGGCUUCUGUGUGUGCAGCUGCUGUCGCCGCCGGGGGCCGGGGGAGGGGGGCGGGCGACUCCCCGGCUCUCCUCUCUGUCGGCCGCGAGCCCCGGAAAGUAUGUCGAGAGAGGGGGAUCUAUCCAGCCGGGGGCGACCACUUUGUGAGCCCCGGGGAGCGGGACCCGUACCACGCGCGUCCAGCUGGGGAUGCGGUGACCGAGGGGCCGGGAGCGCCGGGCAGGUAACGUAUCCCGGACUUAGAGUCGGGGGGCUUUGUUUGGGUCGGGAGGAGGGGAGUAGUGAUGUGUGUGAACGCCGGGCUGCCCUUCCGGGACUCCGGUCCCCCCCUCCUUCGCCCCCCUCGCCUGCGCGCUGGAAGCCAACCUGGGUGUGUAGCGCGAAGAGCGAAAGAGAAACUUCUCCUGCGUGACUGACUAGAUGAGGCUCCUCCCGAGAAGCCGAGAAAAUAGAGGCCCCUCUCCCGCCGCCCGCCUGCCUGCCUCUCCUCCCCCGGCCGCUCCCUCCUGUCGCCCCACCCCUCCAAGGCUGCGGACCAGCCCCCAACACUUCCCCCUACAUCUCUGGCGGGUUCGCGCCGUGGACGCCCCCGCCCUGCGGGAGGUGGGGCUGGCGCAGAUUUUAGGGACUUCCUGGGAUGCGGAGACCGGCUCUGAACCAUCCCCUUUCUGCUGCUGGGAGCUGGGGAAGCUUGCUCUGGAGCGUCUCUCACGUGGCAGGCAGGCAGAGAACUUGCUGUACCUUCUAGGAAAUUACAAUCGAUUUGUAAUGCACUUUCGCUAAUUGAGAGUUCAAAAUUAAACUUUAAUAAAGCAUUUGUGUCGUCUCGUCUAAUUGUGAAA
rnacentral:lncRNA from 1 species